UCCUGACCUCAAGUGAUCUGCCCACCUCGGCCUCCCAAAGUGCUGGGAUUACAGGUGUGAGCCACUGUGCCCAGGCAAAACUAUUACUUUUUAUGACCUUUCCUCAGUAGACACAGAGUGUCUACCAUUCAUACUCUAUCAGUCAAGGCAAUCAAAAAGGUCUUCCCAGGGGAGGAAAUACACCCCUUACUGGGGGAGUGGCAAACUUCCAAAAUGGAUAUCUGGAAAUGUUUUGUAGUCAUAUUGGAAAAAUGAGGUCUGCUUCACUGGCCAUUUGAUGAACAUCUACCCCCACCUUUCUAGUGUAUUACAUUAUAGUAAAUGUCCUGUUAUUUGAGCUUACCUGAGUAAAUCUUUAUUCUUUGCAAACAGAAUACGCUGGAUCAGCAGAAAAAGCUCUUUACCAGCAGCUGGGCCAUAGUACGUAGGAUCACUGAGCAAGUCAGGCCAGGAGAAAGGUUAUGCAUGCUCUCCAAGGAAGUUGAAGUGACAGUAAAUGAGAACAAUGGUUGUUCCCAAGUACUUCUCUCUGUCUUCCACAGUAACAGAACCUGUUAGUUGAGCAUAAGGCUUUCCAUAAUAAAGAUUAUUUUACUCAUUCUUCUUUGUAUACUGGUGUAGAUGCAAAUGAUAGCUUCUAGGGAUCUUCCUUUGAAGUCAACGGACUAGUAAAUUUUGCCUCUUGCCGCCUUCUGUCCUUUUGUUCUGCUGCCUGGAAUGCAAAUGUAAAAGCUAAGGCUUUAGCAGCCAUCUUAGGUCCUGAAGACAAAAGCCACACUCUAUGAUCUGGGAACAAUUAAUGGUAAGCUAGAAGAAGCCAAGAUUACUGAGGAUUUUGUAGAGCAUAUCCACCAUUUCAUGCAUGGACUUUUCCAAAAGUUCUAUGUGAUAGAAAAAUUAAAUCCUAUCUUGUUUAAGCCCCUGUUUUCUCAGGUCUCUGUUACUUACUGUCCCAUCUAUGUCCUAACUCAAACAAAGACAAAUAUGGUGGCCUUUGGCUAUUGUCAUUGUGGGUUAUCUUGCCUUAUUUUGAGACCAUUGCAGAUCAUUUCUCCAUAUUGUUAAACAAAUUCUUUAUACUGCAUUGCAUACAGAGUGCUUGCAACUUGACUCUCCUGGAAUAGAAUGCUCAAUACUGUAAGGUUCUCAGCUUUCUGGAUGUGGACAUGAGUCAAGAGAAGUGAGACAAACUCCCUUAGAAGGCAACUGGGACCCUAUGUUCUCAGGCAAAUGUAAAGGAUUGGCACCACGCUUCACUCAAGUGACAUCUAGACUGCAUAUAUACAACAUGUAAUACUCCUCAGCCACCAUAUGAAACUCCACUAAAUAAAGCAAGAAUGUGAUUGAUUUAAUCCACAGUAGCCUGGAGGGAAACCUAAGAGAGUGGAGAGAUUUGAGAGGCAGAAGGAAAUACAAAGGCCAUUGCAAUCCACCACAGCAGUUAUACCGAGGAAAGCAGGAUAGAUCUCAGAUUAAAUGUGUAUCCUGAUUAACCAGGUGAGUCAAGAACCCCCAAAUCAAAAUGAACUGAAGGUGAUGGAUUUUUUUUUUAGGUUGUCAUCAGAUAGAUUUGCUCAUUACUUGGUUUUUCUUCAAUAAAAAUGGGAAGAAACCAUGUGCUUUUGAAGAAGUGUAUGUGGUACAAGAUUUCAGCCAGUAAACCAAAGGCAAUUCUUAGAAAUCUUUUGAAAAGAAAAUGCUAAAAUUCCUAUGACCACAAGAGAAGAAAGAUGGAUGGCAGGAAGCAGACGGUGAAAGAAGGAAAGAACAGUGUUUGUGUUUUGGGGACUUGUGUUCAGAUGGAUUGCUAAAAAUGAUUACCCUUUAGAAAAGGUUUGUUUUUUAAAAAUAGAAUUAUUUUACAGUUAAGGCACUAUGAAUUUCUUUAAGUCUGGCACACACAAAAACACUUCUGGUUCAAGACCCUGCGUUAUGAUUAUCCUGUUGCGGUGGCAGACACAGUUCAGGAAUGUUCUGUGCUUAGCUGAGCUCAUUCUUCUAUUUCAGAAAUGUUUCAGAUUCAUAUUCAUUUCAAGUUUCCUUAGGGACAGGAGAGCUUUGAACUUCAGAAAAUGUUACUUGGUUUUGUUUCAAAAAGUUACUGUUAAUGAGCAAAUUCUUUCCAUAGAUCCUAAAGACUGUAUUUUGAAAGAUAUUUAAAAAUUUUGUAGUAGUCAGGAUUCUUUCAAGUUGACAGAAACCCAAUCUAAACUAGCUUAAGUACAAAAAGGAACUUACACAUCUGAGAAUUCUAAGUUUCAUAUUAUUCAUAAGCUUCUGGAGGGGACUUAUAUUUUAAGUCAUAAAUGGACACUAACAAACAUCAAGUUUUCUUGUGUUCUAAUACAUGUAUACCAUGUUUAUGGCAGCACUAUUCACAAUAGCUAGAAGGUGGAAACAGCCAUAGAUAUAUCAACAGAUGAUAAAUGAAUUGUGGUAUAUCCAUAAAAUAAAAUAU